CACGUAGGGGGCAAGCGUUGUCCGGAUUUAUUGGGCGUAAAGAGCUCGUAGGCGGCUUAGUAAGUCGGGUGUGAAACCUCCAGGCUCAACCUGGAGACGCCACCCGAUACUGCUGUGGCUAGAGUCCGGUAGGGGAGCGUGGAAUUCCUGGUGUAGCGGUGAAAUGCGCAGAUAUCAGGAGGAACACCGAUGGCGAAGGCAGGUCUCUGGGCCACUACUGACGCUGAGAAGCGAAAGCAUGGGGGAGCAAACAGG
rnacentral:rRNA from 1 species